CGCCUGUUUAUCAAAAACAUAGCCUUCAGCCCACCAAGUAUUGAAGGUGAUGCCUGCCCAGUGACACCACGUUCAACGGCCGCGGUAUCCUAACCGUGCAAAGGUAGCGCAAUCAAUUGUCUCAUAAAUCGGGACUUGUAUGAACGGCUAAACGAGGUCUCAACUGUCUCUUGCAGACAAUCAGUGAAACUGAUCUUCCUGUGCAAAAGCAGGAAUAAACACAUAAGACGAGAAGACCCUGUGGAACUUAAAAAUCAGCAGCCACCCUACUAAACUCAAACCUACAAGGUUCACUGGACUUAAAACAUAUUGGCUUGCAUUUUUUGGUUGGGGCGACCUUGGAGAAAAACAGAACCUCCAAAAACAAGACCACACCUCUUACCCAAGAGCAACACCUCGACGUACAAACAGUAACCAGACCCAGUACAACUGAGCAGUGAACCAAGCUACCCCAGGGAUAACAGCGCAAUCUCCCUCAAGAGCCCCUAUCGACAGGGAGGUUUACGACCUCGAUGUUGGAUCAGGACAUCCUAAUGGUGCAGCCGCUAUUAAGGGUUCGUUCGUUCAACGAUUAACAGUCCUACGUGAUCUGAGUUCAGACCGG
rnacentral:rRNA from 1 species